UGAUUUUGGUUCACAACUAUGUGAUUUUCAUCCCAUCGAAAAUUCAAGGCACCAAAUCUAUUAUCACUCUUACAAUGGAAUUGAAGUGCUGCUGCCGAGAUGGUGAUAGUACAUGAGGUGAAGAAGAAGUUUGUAACGGAGAUGGUGAGAUGCGCUGUUGCCUGAGGUGAAGAAGAAGAGAAAGCAGAGAAGCAAAAUAAGGAGGACACAAAAAGGAAUUAAUUGUAAGUAUGGAUAGAACCCUAAUUGCGAAUUUACUGUAAUUGAACCCUAAUUUGCUAAAUUGCUAUUUACCUGAUCGGAGUUGGAUUUUUCGAAUACCACACCUUUCCACCACUGACUCCAUUAACUCCGUCAAAACCAACUCUCAUUGUCCCAAAAUUACAGUUACGUCAUCGAGUUGAUUUUGUUCGCAUCGGUUUGAACUCUGAUGAAUUUAGUUACUGAUCAACGAAGGAUUGGCAAGAAAAAAAUUUCUAAACAGGUAUGUGGGAAUUAUGUUAGGGGUUUUGGAGUGUGGACUCACAUUUUUAUUCUUUUUGAGACGUAUGUGGGUUUACAUUUCAUUUUAUUGGAUCGUUGCAUUCGAUUGUACUUUUGAUUUCCCCAAACAAGUUUAUAAGAAUUAGGCGUAACUUUCUGAAUUUGCGUAACCACUACUAAUUUCGAAAGCAUUCACUUCAACGCCCAAAAAUAAGGUGACUUUCGCACUCAAUUUCAACAACAGCUAUUACUUAGUUUUGUUUUGUUAGCUUUGAAAAUUGAUUAGGUAUAUAACAUCCGACAUACAAUGAAUUGAAAACUUAGCUUAAAAAGUUACUUAUUAGGGAAUAUUGAUUUGAGCCUGAGCUCAUGGGAAUUUUAUACAUACUGAUUUCUGAAGUGUCAUAUGAAAUGUUCAAUUUUUUCCAUACUUCUAAGUGUUUGUUGAAAUGCAUAAUAGAAAAUAAUGUUCAGUUUCAGCUGUUUUGCGUUGGUUCUUUCUUCACUUUUUUAAGUUUGGAACUAUCCAGUAUCAGCACUUGAUAUCAGCAACUAUUAGAAGUAUCUAAACAUCACAGCCGAAGUUAAAUGAAUAUCACUACCAAUUAGCGGCGUGGUCUCUAAAUCCCAUAAUUUUUACUCCUCAAUCACGAGCACAAUGGCCUUCCAGUAGUCCGGCACUGAAUACAUCAGUAUGAUGGCAUGCUUUUCUGUAAUUUUCUUCAUUUAUAUCUAAAUUGCUUCUGUUAGUUACUGCAUUUCUGUAGAAGAAGAAAAAUGGGCUUGAACUGGUGUCUCAGCAAGCAAAUUUUCAUAGUUAGACAUCUACUUAAGGUCGGUCGACAUUCUGGAAGCCAUGAACUGCAACUAAUUGUGGCAGCAUACAUCCCGAACUGAAUUUGUCGGUGAUGGGCUAAAAGCUCGGAACCUGAUAACUCUGAAAGGUCGUUGGCUUCUACUAGCAGACGAGUUGAAACUGAACACCAGAAGCUGAUUUGCUAGCUGGACUGGAGCGAAUUUGUAUCACAAAUUUUUAUCAUGGAACGCAAGAGGUGCACGUAUCACCAAAAUGUGUAUUGCAAGUUGAAACUAACACAUGAAGGACUAUUGUCUUAGGAAGUUUUUUUCUUUCUUUUGAGUGUUUCAAGAUUCAACUUCAGUUAGCUCUAUACGUUUCUGCUUUUCAAUUUUAACACGGUAUAUAUGAUCGAGAGAAAAAGUUGGAACAUACAAGCACACAUUUUUAGUUAAGUAGUUGUUUUUGAUUGAAAAUUUAUUGAAUGAAAAUUUUUUGGAACAAAA